rnacentral:tRNA from 1 species
GCCAGUGUGGCUCAGUGGAUAGAGCAUCAGCCUGCGGACUGAAGGGUUCCGGGCUCGAUUUCGGUCAAAGGCA